GAUGAAUGCUGGCGGCGUGUCUAAGGCAUGCAAGUCGAGCGGAAAGGCCCUUUCGGGGGUACUCGAGUGGCGAACGGGUGAGUAACACGUGGGUGAUCUGCCCUGCACUUUGGGAUAAGCCUGGGAAACUGGGUCUAAUACCGGAUAGGACUCUUGGCUGCAUGGUUGAGAGUGGAAAGCUUUUGCGGUGUGGGAUGGGCCCGCGGCCUAUCAGCUUGUUGGUGGGGUGAUGGCCUACCAAGGCGACGACGGGUAGCCGGCCUGAGAGGGUGGCCGGCCACACUGGGACUGAGAUACGGCCCAGACUCCUACGGGAGGCAGCAGUGGGGAAUAUUGCACAAUGGGCGCAAGCCUGAUGCAGCGACGCCGCGUGAGGGAUGACGGCCUUCGGGUUGUAAACCUCUUUCACUAGGGACGAAGCGCGAGUGACGGUACCUAGAGAAGAAGCACCGGCCAACUACGUGCCAGCCGCCGCGGUAA
rnacentral:rRNA from 1 species